GGAUAAGAUGUUGACUGAUGGUUGCUUGCUACUGCAGUUGUGGCCCUGGUGGUGAAUACUAUUUCUACGUCCUAGAGUGACUGACCCAUACACAUUCCCAUUGGUGAUGAGGUGGAACCAUGGGCCGAGUAACGUGGGACUGUUUGACGAGUUGGACUGUUCGACCUCGAGAUCAUAUCUAGCAUCUUACUUGAAGUGUUAGACAACCAGGAGAUGUGGGGCGUGAAGGUGUCGUUGAUAGACAACGAAUUCCACCACCAUCGCGAGACAUGAACGAACAACAUAAGGUGGACAUAUGGGGGAAGAACGACGAGGAGUAGGCAUAGACGCACAAGGAGCACAUCCAAGCUUGGGAUCGUAGGAUAGAAUCCAUACUUGCCUGUGCACCAUUUUUCUCGGCAGACACAGCGAUAGCUGAUGAUUACUUAACAUGGUUUAGAGCCAUCGAGAAGUUGUAUUUGCUACCACUAACGGUGAGGAGUAGGCAAAUUUGACCAAAGAGGUAACGUCGACCACUAUAGCAGCAUAGGAGGGGAUGCGGUCACACGACGGGUUCGUCAUCAGCUCUAGCAGAAAAGUUGCCUCCUGUGGCUACGCAAUAUACGGGUCAGUUCGCUUAACUUAUUUCUGUUUAAUUCACUAACCCAUGUUUUUUUCACAAGCACCAUCGCACUACGGACCACUGCCACAAGUGGUCGGUUCUUCUAUUCCGCAGGUUCAUAUUUUGGGGCACUGACAUCCCCUGCAUACUAACCCCAUGCCGAUGUCAAUGUCGAACCCUAUAUCGAGACAGAUUUUGACGUAUGCAUUGCCACCGACGACGAUACAUAUGCAGACGCCCACGCAUUAGUUGAGGCAAUGUCGAUGCCCGAGUCAAUUUUGAUGUACCCGAGAUUUGGGGCACUUUAUGGUUACACGCAUAUAGUGACCUAAACACCGUGCGCAUCACUAUUUUACCGUGGUGGCUCAUCAUCGAACCAUCGAUCGUGGGAGUGGUGGAUACACGAUGGCAGACAAGGAGGGCAUAGCAAUCGACCACGAAGGAAGACGAUGACGCUGUCGAUCCCAAAAAAAGAUUUGCUUAGGGGGCCAUGCUAGGUACAUAUUUAGGCGAUGAUGAAGUCCAUCAAUAAGCAACAACUAGGAGGAAGUCUACAGACCUGCACCUUUGGAUACAUCUCCGGAGGCACCUCUGGUUGCACUUUUGGUUGUACACCUGGUUCUACGCAGAAAUCCUCCAUGCAACUAUCGUCCACCGCCUUACGACACAUUCUCUUCGAUGAUACGAUUGAGUGUAUUUUUUGUUAUAAAUAUUGUGAUGUAAAUAAAAUUGUCAUAAAUAAAAACAAUUAAUUAUUACAAAAAAUCCUUUUAGGUUUUGAGCAAUACCUUUGUCUUUUCAUGAGUUAUGUGUAAGUUAACAAUAAAUAAGAAAUUGAACCAAAGAGAA